UCGUAUCCGUUUUAAAGUGUUACUUGAAAUAAUCUUUAGAACAGCAGUCGGCAACCUUUUGGCAGGCAAGGGCCACAAGGUGGCAAAACAAAU